AGUGGAGUUGCUGGGUCGUAUGAUAACUUUGUUUAAUUGAAGAACUGCCAGGAUGUUUUCCACAGCAGUUGUAGCAUUUUGCUUCCCAAGCAGC
rnacentral:pre_miRNA from 1 species